rnacentral:pre_miRNA from 1 species
AUUCCUCUGGGAUUUUAUUAAAAUGUAGGUUUUUGAUUCAGUAGUUUUGGAGUACGCUCUAAAUUCUGCAUUUCUAGCAAGCUCCCAGAGAUUACU